AAGCACAAAGGCUAUGAGGAUGGUCCAUUACUUGAAUCCAUAUUUCAUGAUACUUAGGACAAACUUAUGCAUCAAUCUAAAGUACCUUAAAUGAUUCAUGAUCACUUAGAAGAUAGAUUUGAAAUGAUGAAAGUUCAUCAAGCACCAAUCCACGCAUCAUGAACAAGAUGGGCACAAAUUCAUCCAAUUGAUCAAAUGGAAAAGAAGGGGAUGGAGAAGAAAAGGGACAAGAGAGGUCACACCCAAAUUGAAUCACAAAUUUGAUAAAGUCAUCA
rnacentral:lncRNA from 1 species